rnacentral:rRNA from 1 species
GAACGCUGGCGGCGUGCCUAAUACAUGCAAGUCGAGCGAACAGAAGGGAGCUUGCUCCCGGAUGUUAGCGGCGGACGGGUGAGUAACACGUGGGUAACCUGCCUGUAAGACUGGGAUAACUCCGGGAAACCGGAGCUAAUACCGGAUAGUUCCUUGAACCGCAUGGUUCAAGGAUGAAAGACGGUUUCGGCUGUCACUUACAGAUGGACCCGCGGCGCAUUAGCUAGUUGGUGGGGUAAUGGCUCACCAAGGCGACGAUGCGUAGCCGACCUGAGAGGGUGAUCGGCCACACUGGGACUGAGACACGGCCCAGACUCCUACGGGAGGCAGCAGUAGGGAAUCUUCCGCAAUGGACGAAAGUCUGACGGAGCAACGCCGCGUGAGUGAUGAAGGUUUUCGGAUCGUAAAGCUCUGUUGUUAGGGAAGAACAAGUGCGAGAGUAACUGCUCGCACCUUGACGGUACCUAACCAGAAAGCCACGGCUAACUACGUGCCAGCAGCCGCGGUAAUACGUAGGUGGCAAGCGUUGUCCGGAAUUAUUGGGCGUAAAGGGCUCGCAGGCGGUUUCUUAAGUCUGAUGUGAAAGCCCCCGGCUCAACC